rnacentral:rRNA from 1 species
GACGAACGCUGGCGGCGUGCCUAAUACAUGCAAGUCGAACGCUGAAGGAGGAGCUUGCUUCUCUGGAUGAGUUGCGAACGGGUGAGUAACGCGUAGGUAACCUGCCUGGUAGCGGGGGAUAACUAUUGGAAACGAUAGCUAAUACCGCAUAAUAGCAGUUGUUGCAUGACAACUGUUUGAAAGGUGCAAUUGCACCACUACCAGAUGGACCUGCGUUGUAUUAGCUAGUUGGUGGGGUAACGGCUCACCAAGGCGACGAUACAUAGCCGACCUGAGAGGGUGGUCGGCCACGCUGGUACGGGAGCACGGCCCAGACCCCUGCGAGAGGCAGCAGUAGGGAAUCUUCGGGAAUGGACGGAAGUCUGACCAAGCAACGCCGCGUGAGUGAAGAAGGUUUUCGGGUCGUAAAGCUCUGUUGUAAGAGAAGAACGAGUGUGAGAGUGGAAAGUUCACACUGUGACGGUAUCUUACCAGAAAGGGACGGCUAACUACGUG